GUGGGGAAUAUUGGACAAUGGGCGAAAGCCUGAUCCAGCAAUGCCGCGUGAGUGAUGAAGGCCUUAGGGUUGUAAAGCUCUUUUACCAGGGAUGAUAAUGACAGUACCUGGAGAAUAAGCUCCGGCUAACUCCGUGCCAGCAGCCGCGGUAAUACGGAGGGAGCUAGCGUUGUUCGGAAUUACUGGGCGUAAAGCGCGCGUAGGCGGUUUAUCAAGUCAGGGGUGAAAUCCCGGGGCUCAACCCCGGAACUGCCCUUGAAACUGGUUCACUAGAAUCCUGGAGAGGCGAGUGGAAUUCCGAGUGUAGAGGUGAAAUUCGUAGAUAUUCGGAAGAACACCAGUGGCGAAGGCGACUCGCUGGACAGGUAUUGACGCUGAGGUGCGAAAGCGUGGGGAGCAAACAGGAUUAGAAACCCGUGUAGUCC
rnacentral:rRNA from 1 species